rnacentral:lncRNA from 1 species
GCGCAAUCAACACAGCCCUCGUCGAACAGGAACGACGACUGAGUGCAGAAUUUAGCAGGGAACUCGAAAAAGUUAGAAAUAGUGUGAGCGCUCUAACUGUAGGUGUCCCUCAGGUGGAAACUUAUAAGAGAGUGACCAUUGACCCUAGUAUAAAAUGUGAAAUGAAACUAGAUAUCAUAAUCAUGAGGAAUAUGUGUCUUGGAGACAAUCUGCUCUAGAUGCGUACGAAGUUUUCAAAAACUACACUGGUAGUCAGACACUACGAGGCUGUGGCCAUCAUAAAAAAUAAAAUCUGUGGAACAGCUCGAGCAUUGCUCACAUCGCACAACACGGUGCUCAAUUUUGAUGCAAUCAUAGCUAGACUUGAUUGCACAUAUGCGGACAAAACAUCCCUACGAGUAUUACGUCAACACUUGGAAAUGGUUAGGCAGGGUGAAACCGAUCUAAUGGAAUAUUAUGACGAAGUCGAGAGAAAGCUCACGCUCGUCACUA